rnacentral:rRNA from 3 species
UGUCGUCAGCUCGUGUUGUGAAAUGUUGGGUUAAGUCCCGCAACGAGCGCAACCCUUAUCCUUUGUUGCCAGCGGUCCGGCCGGGAACUCAAAGGAGACUGCCAGUGAUAAACUGGAGGAAGGUGGGGAUGACGUCAAGUCAUCAUGGCCCUUACGACCAGGGCUACACACGUGCUACAAUGGCGCAUACAAAGAGAAGCGACCUCGCGAGAGCAAGCGGACCUCAUAAAGUGCGUCGUAGUCCGGAUUGGAGUCUGCAACUCGACUCCAUGAAGUCGGAAUCGCUAGUAAUCGUGGAUCAGAAUGCCACGGUGAAUACGUUCCCGGGCCUUGUACACACCGCCCGUCACACCAUGGGAGUGGGUUGCAAAAGAAGU